rnacentral:rRNA from 1 species
AGAGUUUGAUCAUGGCUCAGGAUGAACGCUAGCGGCAGGCUUAAUACAUGCAAGUCGAGGGGCAGCAGGGGUGUAGCAAUACACUCGCUGGCGACCGGCAAACGGGUGCGGAACACGUACGCAAUCUACCCAAAACUGAUGAAUAGCCCUCCGAAAGGAGGAUUAAUACAUCGUAACAUUGUAGAGUGGCAUCACUUUAUGAUUAUAGCUCCGGCGGUUUUGGAUGAGCGUGCGGCUGAUUAGGUAGUUGGCAGGGUAACGGCCUACCAAGCCUACGAUCAGUAACUGGUGUGAGAGCACGACCAGUCACACGGGCACUGAGACACGGGCCCGACUCCUACGGGAGGCAGCAGUAAGGAAUAUUGGUCAAUGGACGCAAGUCUGAACCAGCCAUGCCGCGUGAAGGAUGAAGGUCCUCUGGAUUGUAAACUUCUUUUAUAGGGGAAGAAACCCGGAAAUUCUUUUCCGGUUGACGGUACCCUGGGAAUAAGCACCGGCUAACUCCGUGCCAGCAGCCGCGGUAAUACGGAGGGUGCAAGCGUUAUCCGGAUUCACUGGGUUUAAAGGGUGCGUAGGUGGAUCUGUAAGUCAGUGGUGAAAUCUCCAAGCUUAACUUGGAAACUGCCGUUGAUACUAUAGAUCUUGAAUGCUGUGGAGGUGAGCGGAAUAUGUCAUGUAGCGGUGAAAUGCUUAGAUAUGACAUAGAACACCAAUUGCGAAGGCAGCUCACUACCCAGAUAUUGACACUGAGGCACGAAAGCGUGGGGAUCAAACAGGAUUAGAUACCCUAGUAGUCC